AAGUCGUAACAAGGUUUCCGUAGGUGAACCUGCGGAAGGAUCAUUAAAACGUAUCCAACGUUUAACUAAUUGUGAACUCGUUUCUCCCUUUGCAUCGUAAAAUUGGAGCUGUGAUCGACAUUGAGUGGGAUCUCUAAUCGGAUCUGUCUUUCGCAGUCACUGAUACUUUCGGGUAUCGACAAGGGUCACGAUGUGGAGGCUUUUCUUUCUGUCAUCACCCUCCAUUCAAAGGUGGGACAGGGGGAGCUCCAACCAUUAACCAUUAUCACCCUUUUUUGCUAGUUGACUUUUUUAAUGUUGAGCUCUACGAAAGUCGAGAUCACACGUUUAUCUAUUUGAACGUAAAAUACAACUCUUAGCAAUGGAUAUCUAGGUUCUC
rnacentral:misc_RNA from 1 species